rnacentral:lncRNA from 1 species
AAAGGUAUUAACAACAAAUACAUCAUCAAAUCAGAUAAUUGAUAAGACGAAAAGAGAGAAAACAACAAAUGAAAUGAUGAGAGUGGGUUGGUGGAAGGUGUGUCUUCUGGGUUCGGGUGCUGUUUUACGAUAGAAAUGACUUAGAAGAUGCCAAAAAGGAUGAUGGGAAGCAGUCAUUUUUCUCGUUUUAGGGUUGAGUCUCCUCCACGUCAUAUCACCAGCAUGCAACAAAACAAAUCUUAAAACGUCGAUUUGAGGGGGGGAACGUUAUUUUGUGAUGAUGACAUGUCUGAUUAGUUAUAUGCCGCGUAAGCCUUAGAGAGAGAGAGAUUCCCUUCUGCUUCUUCUUCUUCUUCCUUUCACACCUCCAUUGCCGUUUGUUGAAGGAAGGCCAAUCCAAUAUUAUAGAUUGAUUAAUCGGACAAGAUCAGCAGUUUGAUGAAUCUAUAUUCGGUGAUGUUGC